rnacentral:rRNA from 1 species
GACGAACGCUGGCGGCGUGCCUAAUACAUGCAAGUCGAGCGGACUAAUGGGAGCUUGCUCCCGUUAGUUAGCGGCGGACGGGUGAGUAACACGUGGGCAACCUGCCUGUAAGACUGGGAUAACACCGGGAAACCGGUGCUAAUACCGGAUAAUUCUUUUCCUCACAUGAGGGGAAGUUGAAAGACGGCUUCGGCUGUCACUUACAGAUGGGCCCGCGGCGCAUUAGCUAGUUGGUGAGGUAACGGCUCACCAAGGCGACGAUGCGUAGCCGACCUGAGAGGGUGAUCGGCCACACUGGGACUGAGACACGGCCCAGACUCCUACGGGAGGCAGCAGUAGGGAAUCUUCCGCAAUGGACGAAAGUCUGACGGAGCAACGCCGCGUGAGUGAUGAAGGCCUUCGGGUCGCAAAACUCUGUUGUUAGGGAAGAACAAGUACCGGAGUAACUGCCGGUACCUUGACGGUACCUAACCAGAAAGCCACGGCUAACUACGUGCCAGCCGCCGCAGUAAUAC